rnacentral:rRNA from 1 species
CUUGCUAUGGUAUAACUUAGUGGCAGACGGGUGAGUAAUGUAUAGGAAUCUACCUAGUAGUACGGAAUAAUUGUUGGAAACGACAAUUAAUACCGUAUACGCCCUACGGGGGAAAAAUUUAUUGCUAUUAGAUGAGCCUAUAUUAGAUUAGCUAGUUGGUAGAGUAAUAGCCUACCAAGGCAAUGAUCUAUAGCUGAUCUGAGAGGAUGAUCAGCCACACUGGAACUGAGAUACGGUCCAGACUCCUACGGGAGGCAGCAGUGGGGAAUAUUGGACAAUGGGCGAAAGCCUGAUCCAGCCAUGCCGCAUGAGUGAAGAAGGCCUUUGGGUUGUAAAGCUCUUUUAGUGAGGAAGAUAAUGACGGUACUCACAGAAGAAGUCCUGGCUAACUCCGUGCCAGCAGCCGCGGUAAUACGGGGAGGGCUAGCGUUAUUCGGAACUAUUGGGCGUAAAGGGCGCGUAGGCUGGUUAAUAAGUUAAAAGUGAAAUCCCGAGGCUUAACCUUGGAAUUGCUUUUAAAACUAUUAAUCUAGAGAUUGAAAGAGGAUAGAGGAAUUCCUGAUGUAGAGGUAAAAUUCGUAAAUAUUAGGAGGAACACCAGUGGCGAAGGCGUCUAUCUGGUUCAAAUCUGACGCUGAAGCGCGAAGGCGUGGGGAGCAAACAGGAUUAGAUACCCUGGUAGUCCACGCUGUAAACGAUGAAUGUUAAAUAUGGGAAGUUUACUUUCUGUAUUACAGCUAACGCGUUAAACAUUCCGCCUGGGGACUACGGUCGCAAGAUUAAAACUCAAAGGAAUUGACGGGG